AAGAGGUGUAUUAACNACUAGAGCUGCUAACUCAAGUAACUAAGAAUAAAACUCUUAGACCUCUUA
rnacentral:tRNA from 1 species